CGCUCACAGGUAUGAAGUGGAGGCCAAGAUCCUGCAGCUUCUUGUUGGACAUCUUGUACGGCUGCUUCCGUGGGUUCACCUCGUCAGAGCACCUGGAACAACCAUGGCAAGCUUCAGCAAUGGUGCAUCAUACUGUGAGGUGGAAGUUAUAGGUGCCGGGGGCAGGAGCAUACAAGUGCUAAAUGCUUAACUAAAGCAAUGAAAAUGUCCUAAGCAUAUCAAGAGAUGGAUUACAGAUCACUAGCACACAUACAGAAACUCACCUUGUGGGCACAGGAUACUCGGGGAAGAGCUUGCCGAGGAUGUGGACGACGUCCUCACGGUGCAGGACGCGCUCGGCGCAGAGGUGCCGGCCGG